rnacentral:rRNA from 1 species
CUACGGGAGGCAGCAGUGGGGAAUAUUGCACAAUGGGCGCAAGCCUGAUGCAGCCAUGCCGCGUGUAUGAAGAAGGCCUUCGGGUUGUAAAGUACUUUCAGCGGGGAGGAAGGGAGUAAAGUUAAUACCUUUGCUCAUUGACGUUACCCGCAGAAGAAGCACCGGCUAACUCCGUGCCAGCAGCCGCGGUAAUGCGGAGGGUGCAAUCGUUAAUCGGAAUUACUGGGCGUAAAGCGCACGCAGGCGGUUUGUUAAGUCAGAUGUGAAAUCCCCGGGCUCAACCUGGGAACUGCAUCUGAUACUGGCAAGCUUGAGUCUCGUAGAGGGGGGUAGAAUUCCAGGUGUAGCGGUGAAAUGCGUAGAGAUCUGGAGGAAUACCGGUGGCGAAGGCGGCCCCCUGGACGAAGACUGACGCUCAGGUGCGAAAGCGUGGGGAGCAAACAGGAUUAGAUACCCCUGUAGUC